AGCUGCCCGACCUCUUAUUCACGGAACCACCUACCCAAGUCUUCAUUCAGCCAAGACCAAGGGGAAAAAAUUAACUCAUGGAGAGGUUCACAGUUUAUUACAGCUGUAUGAACUCCUCAUAUUGACCGAGUAUGUACAAAUAUGCAUGUAGACAUAUAUUAUCCUUCAGCUGAUUCGAAUAACUUCGGCUCACGAAUAAGUAUCUCAGCAGCUCUCGAGUGAUGGUAAUAGCGGAGCUAAAGGGUGAGUAAACAUUGAAUGCAAAUUGUUUCAUUUAAAAUAGGGCUUAUAACCUCCCGGCAAGUUCCAGACAAAUUGUUUGUAAAAACU
rnacentral:lncRNA from 1 species